rnacentral:rRNA from 2 species
GAUUUAUGGGCGUAAAGCGAGCGCAGGCGGUUUUUAAGUCUGAUGUGAAAGCCUUCGGCUCAACCGAAGAAGUGCAUCGGAAACUGGGAAACUUGAGUGCAGAAGAGGACAGUGGAACUCCAUGUGUAGCGGUGAAAUGCGUAGAUAUAUGGAAGAACACCAGUGGCGAAGGCGGCUGUCUGGUCUGUAACUGACGCUGAGGCUCGAAAGUAUGGGUAGCAAACAGGAUUAGAUACCCUGGUAGUCCAUACCGUAAACGAUGAAUGCUAAGUGUUGGAGGGUUUCCGCCCUUCAGUGCUGCAGCUAACGCAUUAAGCAUUCCGCCUGGGGAGUACGGCCGCAAGGCUGAAACUCAAAGGAAUUGACGGGGGCCCGCACAAGCGGUGGAGCAUGUGGUUUAAUUCGAAGCUACGCGAAGAACCUUACCAGGUCUUGACAUACUAUGCAAAUCUAAGAGAUUAGACGUUCCCUUCGGGGACAUGGAUACAGGUGGUGCAUGGUUGUCGUCAGCUCGUGUCGUGAGAUGUUGGGUUAAGUCCCGCAACGAGCGCAACCCUUAUUAUCAGUUGCCAGCAUUAAGUUGGGCACUCUGGUGAGACUGCCGGUGACAAACCGGAGGAAGGUGGGGAUGACGUCAAAUCAUCAUGCCCCUUAUGACCUGGGCUACACACGUGCUACAAUGGAUGGUACAACGAGUUGCGAACUCGCGAGAGUAAGCUAAUCUCUUAAAGCCAUUCUCAGUUCGGAUUGUAGGCUGCAACUCGCCUACAUGAAGUCGGAAUCGCUAGUAAUCGCGGAUCAGCAUGCCGCGGUGAAUACGUUCCCGGGCCUUGUACACACCGCCCGUCACACCAUGAGAGUUUGUAACACCCAAAGUCGGUGGGGUAACCUUUUAGGAACCAGCCGCCUAAGGUGGGACAGAUGAUUAGGGGAGUCGA